rnacentral:tRNA from 2 species
GUCCCCAUCGUCUAACGGUUAGGACAUCGCCCUUUCAAGGCGGCAAUACGGGUUCGAUUCCCGUUGGGGGCA